UGUGAGGGGAGGUAGAAGAGACAGAGACAGGAUAAAAUAAGACUAAGAAGAAGCCGACACAGCCUGAUCUUGUACCGUAGCUCCAGAUCUAAGUCUUGCAGCUGUUUCAGGAACCCUCGGUUCGGGGAGAUGGCUCGAUUCUGCAGGACCUUUCUGACGGCAUCAGCCAGGGAGAAAUUCUGACAGAUCAUGAGCUGUCCAUCACAUGCUCCAACUCUUGGACGGAGGGUGAGGCAGAUCUGCGGCUGUUCAUUUUGCAAAAGGAGGCGGUCGUCUUUGGAAAGGGGUCAUCCGUUGUCAUGCGAUGAUACAUGGUCGUUGCAGAGCCCCAAUGAGCUCCAGUUACCUUUCGACAUUUGACAGGGAGAAGCAGUUGCUUCAGGAACCCUCGGUUGGGGAAAAUCCACCGACGUUCUUUCACUGCCUGAAUGGCUUUCAGCAAAGAGAAGCGAUGGUAGAUCAUGAGAUAUGCCAGCACCAAUGAAGACGACCGGCUUAUCCCCACUGCGCAGUGCACUAAGAUUUUGCCUGAAAAUGAAGUAAACCACAUUUUUUAAUCAUCUUAAAAGAUGGCAUUUUUAAAGUACAGAGAAGGCAGAAUUCAACCAUUUCUGAAACAGUUCGUGGUUCCUGACCUUGGACAGAAAGACUGUCAUCCCUGCCUGGAUACCAUCAGCCUGAGAAUGCUCGCUGGGCUUGCUUACUCCCAAAACGUCUGUGGGCUCAGCCUCACCAGAACUGGACAGAUCUAUAAAGACAUGGCUUUACGCUGGAGUUAAAGGAACUCUAACUGCCUUUCAAUCAAGCACUCUUCAUUCAGACAUUAUUGCCAUGGAUUGGACAGGCAUUUUUUUGAGGUUUUUUUUCUCUGGACCCUUGGCUGCCAGGCUCAGCAACACAAGGAUCGUGGAUUAGGAAGAACGCCCAAGGUGCAAUGAGUUUUAUAUGUCUUAUGCACAAAGACAAGCCUGUUAAUCACAAAAAGUAAAGUCUGAUUCCAGAUUGUAGAGCUAAGGCUUGACAUAUGGACCAGGAGAUUCUGAAAGACAUGGUAAUGGCGAGGCAGAACAGUAAGUGGAUUAUGAUGCUUCCGAAGAUCACUUCUUCUCCUAGCCGGCUUACGGAUUUUGAGCAACACAAGCAGCAAAACCGUUAUUUAUUAAGGGUUCUACACUCCUCCUGUGCUUGCCGAUAUUAUAUUGCUCAUCAGUGAAUCCACCUGAGCCGACAAUUUAAAACGCUGAUGCGCUAUUUCAUAUUUUAGAGCAGGUUGGGGGGAAUUUGAUUUCAGAAGAGAGCAAGAUUUCAACAAGGUCCGAAUGUGUGGCUGACACUUGGAAACAUUCAAGGUUAAAUUGCAGAAAAGCAAAAUGUUUUAACAGCAUUUGCUGCGGUGUUUCUUUUUUAAAAAAACAACAAAAUAGUACACCAACACUUUCAAUACAAAUGUCUCCCUCAGAUACUGUACAUUUCUUUAUUUUUAAACCGAUGAUUUUGUGGCUUCAGCACAAUGGCGGAUCAAGUUGUAGAACCAAGGGUUUAAUGUCACAUACUCUGAAAUAAAAGGGGUAAUAACCUAUUCCCAUGCUGCCUAAAUAUGAGACAGGUCUAUCAAUAACUAAGCCACAAUAGCUUAGCGGAAUCCCCACAGAUAAAGUUUACUUCUGAAGACUAGUUGCUGGAUACCGCAAGUGGGAGAAGGCUGUUUCCUUCAGGGCCCAGUUCUGUACUUCCCAGAAGCAUUAGGCUGACCACUGUUCAAAACAGGAUGCUGACUUAGAACCACUGAUAGGUGCAUUUGAAGGUAAGCUCCCAGCGCCAUUCAGCUGAUUGGACUACAGUACUGCAAUGUGCUCUACGUGGGGCUACCUUUGAAGGUGACCCAGAAACUACAAUUAAUCCAGAAUGCGACAGGUAGACUGGUAACUGGG